GCGCACGUCACGGCUAUUGUGGCCGUCCGGGUAUAUAAGGUCCCGCCGGCCCGCCGCGCUCCCCACCUCGUUUGCGCCCGCCCGAGCCACCUCGUCCCCGCGCCUUCCCCACGCACCUCAGCAGCCAGCGGAACGCGCCGCGCCCCGACGGAGCGGACAUGGGCACAGCGAUGGUGGCCAGGCUGGGGCUGGGGCUGUUGCUUUUGGCACUGCUCCUACCCACGCAGAUUUAUUCAAACCAAACAGUUGUGCCAUUUUCAACUAACUCCUCCCAGAGUACCACUGCUGUCCCCAAUUCAACCAUCACCACCACCAGGGGAGGCAGCAGCGCCCUGCAGUCCACAGCUGGUCUUCUCGUGGUUUCACUCUCUCUUCUACAUCUCUACUGUUAGAGACUGAGGCCAAGCAACGUCUCUACUCCCCCAUCUUCUCCACCCAACCCAAAUGGCAACUACAAGUCCAAUGUGGCGAGGAAGAAAAAGGUCUGCAUCAAAUCAACUGAUUCCACGGCUUAUUUUCUGGACACAGAAAGGGUUGAGGGUUCCAAAUCUGAUCCAUUUGAAGAACAUGUGAAGGGUUUGACAGAGGAUGAAUGCCAAUAUUGAAUCUGCUGGAGUUUCAUGUACCAGAUGAUGAGAGAUAACAUCCAAAGUUGAGAUGAUUUCCUCAAGUGUGGCUUAAGGAACAGGAACCCUUAAGUCUGCCUUGAAAACAACCCUAGGUUUUUGUCUAGAGAUAAGAAUGGAAUAUGGAGAUACCAUUUUAAUUUUUUGGCUCAUUAAAUCAAUUACCUAGGCCAUACAACAAUUAGAUAAUAUGGAAGGCUUCCAUGAUUCUAUUUAUAUGUACACUAGCAGGAACUACCAGGUGUUAUGAUAAGUCCUCCAUGUAUUGUUUCAGCAGUACUAAUUUAAUGCCCAUAUACUCGAGGAAAAGUUUCACAUUGUUAAACUGUUACUGUUCUAAACUGAACUCUUUUGUUGGUUUGUUUUUGUUUUCCUUCCCUUUUGUGACUCUGGAUUGGACCUUACAUCCCAUCUUCUAUGUAUGUGCCAGGCCAAUGAGGGCUUGGGAUUCACCCGUCUGAGCAUCCUGAAUAAACCUUAUCCUUACAAAGUCAAAUGGUAUGCAUUACUCAUCACCCAACAACAGCGUCACUUAGCUAAAUUGAUUCCAAAGAAUGUUUUUAUUCAAUGAGAACACCGGAUUCAUUUAGCUAACCAGACUCCAAAGAGUAGAGUUGCAUUAACUUUAGCUCUGUGUGUGUGUGUGUGUGUGUGUGCGUGCGCGCGCGUGCGCAUGUGAGUACUAGGGCCUAAACUCAGCCUGGGGGCCGUUCCUUCCUUAGUUUUUUUUGCUCAAGGCUAAUGCUCUACAACUUGAGCCACAGCUCCACUUUCAGCUUUUUGCUGAAGAUAAAGAGUCUCAAGGACUUUCCUGUCUGAGCUGGCUUCAAACUGAGAUUCUCAAAUCUUAACCCUAGGAUUACAGGUGUGAGCAACCAGUACCUAGUUUAACUUUAAUUUCAAAAUGUUACAUUUUGACUCUAAAUAUGUUGAAUACCUUUCAUGAUUUAACAUUUUGGUCUGUUUUGAAGGUAAAAUUACAAAGCUUGAAAUUAGAAAGGAAAACAGGCAAAGGAACUAAAACCAUAAAUCAAGCAGUUGGGAAGUGAAGACUGGAAGGUCUCUUGCAUUAAAUUCACAAAAACUUUUAUACUCUUUCUGUAAAUACCUUUUUUAAAAAAAAUAUGGAUCAGGAUAGCUACAUUUGGACUGCUUUCUGUUAUCAGUCAAUAUUUUUAGAUAGUUAGAACCUGGUCUUGACCCUGAAAGUGGGCUAGAUUCCAUAGUAAAUCUUUUACAUCAUUGAUACACAAACCUUGAAAAAAAGACACUCCUUGAAAAAUAAUUUUGUUCGCAUGGUCACACACUGAUGCUCACACGUUCUGGUAUCUCGUAUCACCACAGUCCUAAUAACCAGUCAUUUUCCUCCCAUGUUUAGAACCCUACAUGGGAAGAGCCAGGUCACACCGAUCUGAGGCUCUGGUGUGUGUGAAUGAACACUCCCUUUGCUUCAUCCCUGAAUGCUGUACAUCUAUUUGGAUUGUAUAUUGUGUUUGUGUAUUUAUGCUUUGAUUCAUAGUAACUUCUCAUGUUAUGGAAUUGAUUUGCAUUGAACACAAACUGUAAAUAAAAGAAAUUGAUGGCUGAAA